rnacentral:rRNA from 1 species
AUUGAACGCUGGCGGCAUGCCUUACACAUGCAAGUCGAACGGUAACAGGGAGCUUGCUCCGCUGACGAGUGGCGAACGGGUGAGUAAUGUAUCGGAACGUACCUUUUAGUGGGGGAUAACGUAGCGAAAGUUACGCUAAUACCGCAUAUUCUCUGAGGAGGAAAGCAGGGGACCUUCGGGCCUUGCGCUAAUAGAGCGGCUGAUAUCAGAUUAGCUAGUUGGUGAGGUAAAGGCUCACCAAGGCGACGAUCUGUAGCGGGUCUGAGAGGAUGAUCCGCCACACUGGAACUGAGACACGGUCCAGACUCCUACGGGAGGCAGCAGUGGGGAAUUGUGGACAAUGGGGGCAACCCUGAUCCAGCCAUGCCGCGUGAGUGAAGAAGGCCUUCGGGUUGUAAAGCUCUUUCGGCCGGGAAAAAAUCGCAUGGGUUAAUACCCUGUGUGGAUGAUGGUGCCGGAAUAAGAAGCACCGGCUAACUACGUGCCAGCCGCCGCGGUAA